rnacentral:rRNA from 1 species
UACGUAGGGUGCGAGCGUUAAUCGGAAUUACUGGGCGUAAAGCGUGCGCAGGCGGUUCGUUGUGUCUGAUGUGAAAGCCCCGGGCUUAACCUGGGAAUGGCAAUGGAUACUGGCAAGCUAGAGUGCGGUAGAGGGUAGUGGAAUUCCCGGUGUAGCGGUGAAAUGCGUAGAGAUCGGGAGGAACACCAGUGGCGAAGGCGGCUACCUGGACCAGCACUGAUACUGAGGCACGAAAGCGUGGGGAGCAAACAGG